rnacentral:rRNA from 1 species
CCUACGGGUGGCAGCAGUGAGGAAUAUUGGUCAAUGGGCGUGAGCCUGAACCAGCCAAGUCGCGUGAGGGAUGACUGCCCUAUGGGUUGUAAACCUCUUUUGCCGGGGAGCAAUGUGCCGCACGUGUGCGGUUUGGAGAGUUCCCGGAGAAACAGCAUUGGCUAACUCCGUGCCCGCAGCCGCCGUAAUUCGGAGGAUUCGAGCGUUAUCCGGAUUUAUUGGGUUUAAAGGGUGCGUAGGCGGACGGUUAAGUCAGCGGUAAAAUUGCGGGGCUCAACCUCGUCGCGCCGUUGAAACUGGGUGCCUUGAGUGGGCGAGAAGUACGCGGAAUGCGUGGUGUAGCGGUGAAAUGCAUAGAUAUCACGCAGAACUCCGAUUGCGAAGGCAGCGUACCGGCGCCCAACUGACGCUGAAGCACGAAGGCGUGGGUAUCGAACAGGAUUAGAUACCCUAGUAGUC